rnacentral:rRNA from 1 species
GAUGAACGCUGGCGGCGUGCCUAAUACAUGCAGGUCGAGCGAACAGAUAAGGAGCUUGCUCCUUUGAAGUUAGCGGCGGACGGGUGAGUAACACGUGGGUAACCUACCUAUAAGACUGGGAUAACUUCGGGAAACCGGAGCUAAUACCGGAUAACAUUUAGAACCGCAUGGUUCUAAAGUGAAAGAUGGUUUUGCUAUCACUUAUAGAUGGACCCGCGCCGUAUUAGCUAGUUGGUAAGGUAACGGCUUACCAAGGCGACGAUACGUAGCCGACCUGAGAGGGUGAUCGGCCACACUGGAACUGAGACGCGGUCCAGACUCCUACGGGAGGCAGCAGUAGGGAAUCUUCCGCAAUGGGCGAAAGCCUGACGGAGCAACGCCGCGUGAGUGAUGAAGGGUUUCGGCUCGUAAAACUCUGUUAUUAGGGAAGAACAAAUGUGUAAGUAACUGUGCACAUCUUGACGGUACCUAAUCAGAAAGCCACGGCUAACUACGUGCCAGCAGCCGCGGUAAUACGUAGGUGGCAAGCGUUAUCCGGAAUUAUUGGGCGUAAAGCGCGCGUAGGCGGUUUCUUAAGUCUGAUGUGAAAGCCCACGGCUCAACCGUGGAGGGUCAUUGGAAACUGGGAAACUUGAGUGCAGAAGAGGAAAGUGGAAUUCCAUGUGUAGCGGUGAAAUGCGCAGAGAUAUGGAGGAACACCAGUGGCGAAGGCGACUUUCUGGUCUGUAACUGACGCUGAUGUGCGAAAGCGUGGGGAUCAAACAGGAUUAGAUACCCUGGUAGUCCACGCCGUAAACGAUGAGUGCUAAGUGUUAGGGGGGUUUCCGCCCCUUAGUGCUGCAGCUAACGCAUUAAGCACUCCGCCUGGGGAGUACGACCGCAAGGUUGAAACUCAAAGGAAUUGACGGGGACCCGCACAAGCGGUGGAGCAUGUGGUUUAAUUCGAAGCAACGCGAAGAACCUUACCAAAUCUUGACAUCCUUUGAAAACUCUAGAGAUAGAGCCUUCCCCUUCGGGGGACAAAGUGACAGGUGGUGCAUGGUUGUCGUCAGCUCGUGUCGUGAGAUGUUGGGUUAAGUCCCGCAACGAGCGCAACCCUUAAGCUUAGUUGCCAUCAUUAAGUUGGGCACUCUAGGUUGACUGCCGGUGACAAACCGGAGGAAGGUGGGGAUGACGUCAAAUCAUCAUGCCCCUUAUGAUUUGGGCUACACACGUGCUACAAUGGACAAUACAAAGGGCAGCUAAACCGCGAGGUCAUGCAAAUCCCAUAAAGUUGUUCUCAGUUCGGAUUGUAGUCUGCAACUCGACUACAUGAAGCUGGAAUCGCUAGUAAUCGUAGAUCAGCAUGCUACGGUGAAUACGUUCCCGGGUCU